GCCUGAGAGGCUCAGUCAGUUAAGCAUCUGACUUCAGCUCAGGUCGUGAUCUUGUGGUUCGUGGGUUCGAGCCCCACAGCAGGCU
rnacentral:tRNA from 1 species